rnacentral:rRNA from 1 species
UACGUAGGGUGCGAGCGUUGUCCGGAAUUAUUGGGCGUAAAGAGCUCGUAGGCGGUCUGUCGCGUCUGCUGUGAAAACUCGGGGCUUAACCCCGGGCCUGCAGUGGGUACGGGCAGACUAGAGUGCGGUAGGGGAGACUGGGAUUCCUGGUGUAGCGGUGAAACGCGCAGAUAUCAGGAGGAACACCGGUGGCGAAGGCGGGUCUCUGGGCCGUAACUGACGCUGAGGAGCGAAAGCAUGGGGAGCGAACAGG